UACCGUUCCCUCGUCCGUCCCAUUUCUU
rnacentral:sRNA from 1 species